AUUGAACGCUGGCGGCAGGACUAACAAAUGCAAGUAGAGCGGAGCGGCGGACGGGUGAGUAAUGCCUAGGAAUCUGCCUGGUAGUGGGGGAUAACGUCCGGAAACGGGCGCUAAUACCUCAUACUUUCAUAUGAGCCUAGGUCGGAUUCGAUAGUUGGUGGGGUAAAGGCCUACCAAGGCUACAAUCCGUAACUGGUCUUAGAGGAUGAUCAGUCACACUGGAACUGAGACACGGUCCAGACUCCUACGGGAGGCAGCAGUGGGGAAUAUUUGACAAUGGGCGAAAGCCUGAUCCAGCCAUUCCGCGUGUGUGAAGAAGGUCUUCGGAUUGUAAAGCACUUUAAGUUGUGAGGCGUUACCAACAGCAUAAGCACCGGCUAACUUCGUGCCAGCCGCCGCGUUAAUUC
rnacentral:rRNA from 1 species